rnacentral:rRNA from 1 species
GGAUCAAUUUAUUGGUCGUGCUAUUGUACGUACUGGUAUUAUUGAUUCCUACCUUCUGACGAACCAUGAUGUCAUUAAUUUGGUGUCAUGGGGAAUCAGGACUGUUACUUUGAAAAAAUUAGAGUGUUCAAAGCAGGCAUUUGCUCGAAUACAUUAGCAUGGAAUAAUAGAAUAGGACCC